rnacentral:rRNA from 1 species
GACGUAGGGCGCGAGCGUUGUCCGGAUUUAUUGGGCGUAAAGAGCUCGUAGGCGGUUUGGUAAGUUGGAUGUGAAAUCUCCAGGCUCAACUUGGAGGGGUCAUUCGAUACUGCCAUGACUAGAGUUCGGUAGGGGAGUGUGGAAUUCCUGGUGGAGCGGUGAAAUGCGCAGAUAUCAGGAGGAACACCCGUAGCGAAGGCGGCACUCUGGGCCGGAACUGACGCUGAGGAGCGAAAGCGUGGGGAGCGAACAGG